rnacentral:sRNA from 1 species
UUUUAGCCCUGACAGAGCCUUUGUUGGAGCUCUUUUUACAAAAUGAAAUGGCGUAAAAAAGCGACUGGCGAUGGCAGGAAUAAGG